rnacentral:rRNA from 1 species
UACGGGGGGAGCAAGCGUUGUUCGGAUUUACUGGGCGUAAAGGGCGCGUAGGCGGUCAGCACAAGUCAGUUGUGAAAUCUCCGGGCUUAACUCGGAAAGGUCAACUGAUACUGUGCGACUAGAGUGCGGAAGGGGCAACUGGAAUUCUCGGUGUAGCGGUGAAAUGCGUAGAUAUCAGGAGGAACACCGGUGGCGAAGGCGGGUCUCUGGGCCGAUACUGACGCUGAGGUGCGAAAGCGUGGGGAGCAAACAGG